rnacentral:lncRNA from 1 species
AAAAAUUGAUUGAUAAAAAAAUUGAAAAAUAUAGAUCCUUGAAUGAAGACAAGUACUGAGUUGUUUGGUUCCAUAUAAAACUGUAAAAGAUAAGUUUUGGUCAAUUUGUAUAAAAAAAUUAUUAGUUUUGAGCUUUUGCAAAAGUGGUCCAUAUUUUCUAAUUUUACAGAUUCGAACCGAAGUUUUCACCGUUUGACCAAAUACCCCUCAUCUAAAUCCGCCUCUCGCGUAUUCCCUCAUAUACAUAUACCACAAUUACGACCUCUUGGGCGGGCAUUAAAUGCACCCCAAGCAUCUUUACGCAACCUCCUACUUAUCUGAAUGCAAAUCAAAUCGGCUCAGUUAUUCAACAACCCUGGUAUUUGUUAUUCAGCUUUUAAAAAUUAAAUAUACUGAAGCUACAUGACAAAAACUAUACGCAUGGCAACAUGAAUAAUAAUGCAACGCAAAUGAGCAACAUAAAGAUAAAUGGUGCAACACCCCUUCUAGCAGUGCAGCUUGCAGUUAAUAUCAAUGCAACUCCUGUCGUUAACCGUGCGAAGCUGGCAUUCAAUCUUCUCCCUCACCGGGGCAACAUCCUACUUCCCAGUAAGGGGGUCAGGCAGUCAUCUUCUCAAAUCACAAGAAAUGUAGGGGAGUUUAUUUCAAAAUGCUUUAAGUCCAGGUGAUGCGAGAUCUAUCUCACAUGUUCGGCUGGCUAUCAGACUCUGAUAUUAAAUGUAACGAUCCGAUCCGCCAGUAAUAAUAGCUCGUUGGACCGAAAUCACCGACCCAAAAUGCUUAAGCCCAGUUAUUAUUAAUAGUGAGUCUAUCACUUGUAAACCCAUCACACUCUCUCACAUUAUCCGAUAUAGGACUAAUCGGAUGUCACAUACUCUUCUCGUGUAAAUCAUGGCAUCCUCGUCAGUCCAGUCCAAUUAUAUACAUAGUUUCAGAUUUAUUAACAAUAUCCAUCUCACACUUUUGACUGCAUAUGAGGCUCUAAUAUUAAAUGUAAUGAUCCGACAUGUUAAAAAUAAUAAUUGGGUUUAAACAUUUUGGGCUGUUGGUUGGGCCUAAUAAAUUAUUAUUGCUAGUAGGCCGAUCAUUACAUAAUUAACA